GAUGAACGCUAGCUACAGGCUUAACACAUGCAAGUCGAGGGGCAGCAUGAACUUAGCUUGCUAAGUUUGAUGGCGACCGGCGCACGGGUGAGUAACACGUAUCCAACCUGCCGAUGACUCGGGGAUAGCCUUUCGAAAGAAAGAUUAAUACCCGAUGGCAUAGUUCUUCCGCAUGGUAGAACUAUUAAAGAAUUUCGGUCAUCGAUGGGGAUGCGUUCCAUUAGGUUGUUGGCGGGGUAACGGCCCACCAAGCCUUCGAUGGAUAGGGGUUCUGAGAGGAAGGUCCCCCACAUUGGAACCGAGAAACGGUCCAAACUCCUACGGGAGGAAGCAGUGAGGAAUAUUGGUCAAUGGAAGAGAGUCUGAACCAGCCAAGUAGCGUGAAGGAUGACUGCCCUAUGGGUGGUAAACUUCUUUUAGACGGGAAUAAAGUGAGGCACGUGUGCCUUUUUGUAUGUACCGGAUGAAUAAGGAUCGGCUAACUCCGUG
rnacentral:rRNA from 1 species